UACGUAGGGGGGCAAGCGUUGUCCGGAAUCAUUGGGCGUAAAGAGCGUGUAGGCGGUCCGGUCAGUCGGUUGUGAAAGUCGGGGGCUCAACCCUCGAAUGCCGGUGGAUACUGUCGGGCUAGAGUGCGGAAGAGGCGAGUGGAAUUCCUGGUGUAGCGGUGAAAUGCGCAGAUAUCAGGAGGAACACCUAUUGCGAAGGCAGCUCGCUGGGACGUAACUGACGCUGAGACGCGAAAGCGUGGGGAGCAAACAGG
rnacentral:rRNA from 1 species